ensembl:lncRNA
CGAGAUUAUAGGUCUGCCUUCCUCCUUCUUCUGUGGUAGUGAGCUGAUAAAAUCCUCUGCUUUCUGAGAAGAGUUGAACAUCAUCUGAUCACCGUUGUGUCACAGUUUAAUCAUUGCCGGAUAGAUGAGAAACGGCUGCUGACCCAGUGAUGUCAUAAGGACUGGGUUGAGGUUCCUUCUCCUGGCAGACGUGGCUGAACUGAAGUUGGGAAAAAACAGUAGCGUGACAUUAUCCUGCAUAUAUUAUAUAUAUAUAUAUAUAUAUGCCUGACGUGCACCCUACAGGAUCACCAAUCUAUCUUGCCACCUCAGCACACGAAAGAUAAGAGAAUCCACUUGGAAAGAUUAUCUCUGAGAAAGCCGGCUGCAUUGGAGCCUUCCGCCCCCUUUGGUAACCCCACCAGUCGCACAUUAUUUCUCCUUCUCCUAUCCUCCAUGUUCGUCACUUUAUCGUUUGUUGCAGUGUGUCUGGUGGUUUUGUCUGUUCGUGUGUGUCCUGGUCUUGGCUCUUUGUUUCGGAUUCCUUGAUCCUGCUGGGUUGGUUCGCCCAUUGCAUCCCUGCAUUGCUGUCCUAAGUGGUGGUCUCUUCAGCCUGCCUUGCCUGCUUCAGUCCUGCUUCACUCGCCUGUGCUUUGUCCAGC